UUGGCGAGGUGGUCCCUAACGUUGCCGU
rnacentral:piRNA from 1 species